UACGUAGGGGGCUAGCGUUGUCCGGAAUCAUUGGGCGUAAAGCGCGUGUAGGCGGCCCGGUAAGUCCGCUGUGAAAGUCGGGGGGCUCAACCCUCGGAUGCCGGUGGAUACUGUCGGGCUUGAGUGCGGAAGAGGCGAGUGGAAUUCCUGGUGUAGCGGUGAAAUGCGCAGAUAUCAGGAGGAACACCAAUGGCGAAGGCAGCUCGCUGGGACGGUACUGACGCUGAGGCGCGAAAGCGUGGGGAGCAAACAGG
rnacentral:rRNA from 1 species